rnacentral:sRNA from 1 species
GGAAGGAUCAUUAAUGAAUUGUCGACACGAGUUGUUGCUGGUCCCCAAACCGGGGGCAUGUGCACGCUCUGUUUACACAUCCACUCACACCUGUGCACCCUCUGUAGUUCUGUGGCCUGGGGGUCUCCGCCCUCUUGCUGUGGUCCUACGUCUUUACACACACACACUGUAACAAAGUCUUAUGGAAUGUAUGCCGCGUUUAACGCAAUACAAUACAACUUUCAGCAACGGAUCUCUUGGCUCUCGCAUCGAUGAAGAACGCAGCGAAAUGCGAUAAGUAAUGUGAAUUGCAGAAUUCAGUGAAUCAUCGAAUCUUUGAACGCACCUUGCGCCCUUUGGCUAUUCCGAAGGGCAUGCCUGUUUGAGUAUCAUGAACACCUCAACUCUCAUGGUUCGCCAUGACGAGCUUGGACUUUGGGGGUCUUGCUGGCCUAUGGUCGGCUCCUCUCAAACAAAUCAGCUUGCCAGUGUUUGGUGGCAUCACAGGUGUGAUAACUAUCUACGCUUGUGGUUUUCCACCAGGUAACCUUCAGUGAUGGAGGUUCGCUGGGGCUCAUAAACGUCUCUCCUCUGCGAGGACAACUUUUUGAACGUUUGAUCUCAAAUCAGGUAGGACUACCCGCUGAACUUAAGCAUAUCAAUAAGCGGAGGAAAAGAAACUAACAAGGAUUCCCCUAGUAACUGCGAGUGAAGCGGGAAGAGCUCAAAUUUAAAAUCUGGCGUGCCUCUGGUCGUCCGAGU